rnacentral:rRNA from 1 species
CCUACGGGAGGCAGCAGUGAGGAAUAUUGGUCAAUGGACGAGAGUCUGAACCAGCCAAGUAGCGUGAAGGAUGACUGCCCUAUGGGUUGUAAACUUCUUUUAUCUGGGAAUAAAAUCUUCCACGUGUGGCAUUUUGUAUGUACCAUAUGAAUAAGCAUCGGCUAACUCCGUGCCAGCAGCCGCGGUAAUACGGAGGAUCCGAGCGUUAUCCGGAUUUAUUGGGUUUAAAGGGUGCGUAGGUGGAUGGGUAAGUCAGUUGUGAAAGUUUGCGGCUCAACCGUAAAAUUGCAGUUGAAACUGGCAGUCUUGAGUACAGUAGAGGUGGGCGGAAUUCGCGGUGUAGCGGUGAAAUGCUUAGAUAUCACGAAGAACUCCGAUUGCGAAGGCAGCUCACUGGACUGCAACUGACACUGAGGCUCGAAAGUGUGGGUAUCAAACAGGAUUAGAUACCCGGGUAGUC